rnacentral:tRNA from 1 species
CCUGGUGGCUCAGACGGUAAAGUGUCUGCCUACAAUGCAGGAGACCCAGGUUCGAUUCCUGGGUCAGGA